rnacentral:rRNA from 1 species
UACGAAGGGUGCAAGCGUUACUCGGAAUUACUGGGCGUAAAGCGUGCGUAGGUGGUGAGUUAAGUCUGUCGUGAAAGCCCCGGGCUCAACCUGGGAAUGGCGAUGGAUACUGGCUCGCUAGAGUGCGGUAGAGGAGAGUGGAAUUCCCGGUGUAGCAGUGAAAUGCGUAGAGAUCGGGAGGAACACCUGUGGCGAAGGCGGCUCGCUGGGCCGGUCCUGACGCUGAUAUGCGAAGGCGUGGGGAGCGAACGGG